CAGGAUCAGGGUGGGCUGCCCUCACGCGCCAGAUUUUCAUCACUGGAGCACAGACAUCUGUGACUGCACCAGCCCCACCCUCAUCUCACUCAAUGCUUUUCAAGUCCUCGGGGGCCCUGAGGGAACCUCUGAGCACCAGACUCUUGCUCAACCAGUAGGACUGGACUGAAAUGAUAGAAACAGAUGUCCUUUGGAAUGAAUGCUGUAGUGGAUUAUCCAGAAUGCCCCUCAGGAUGGAGGUAUUUAUUCUUCCAGCUCCUGGGCAUGCAGAGCAAGACCCUGUUCUAGGCGCUGGAGCGAGCUGUAACCAAGAGGAGCAAACUCCAUCCCUCAGGGGAGCUCAUGGUCUAGCAAACAAGCAACAGACAAGUAAAUAAUAUAAGUGUUCUUCUUUACUCCAUCGCGGAGAUCAAUGUAUCAGCUGGGAAUGCGUAAUCCCAGUGGUGCCUGCUUUCUAUUCUGGAACCAAAGAGGGAACAAGGUGAUCAGGGAUGGGGCAUAUUUAAGGGCAUGGAAACCAGUGGUAGGAUCAUGAGUUUAUGGGCACACUUAGUACCAGUCCCUAAGGGGGUAAUUACAGACAGACUUUGAAGCUGCUUAAGAAGAGCAGCAUCAUAGAUUUUUAUAAUCACUGCAGUAGCUGUGCUAGAUUUGCCUAAUGUAGUUCUGGGCACAAAAAGAUGUACAAUACCCACUUGUUGAAUUGAGCAGAAGCUUAAGGAGAAGAACUGAAGAAGCUUAGUGCAUAUAGGAGAGAGGGAGCCUCCAACCCCUUUUCAGAAAUGAAUUAAACCUCAGUGUUCUGUCUUCUAUCCUCUUUAGAGUUUGAAGUCAAUUUUCCAAAGAUUAGGGCUUAAAGGGGAAGGAGUGGAUUGGGGAAGAGGAUUAAGGAAGAGUU